rnacentral:rRNA from 1 species
AGCGAACGCUGGCGGCAGGCUUAACACAUGCAAGUCGAGCGGGCACUUUCGGGUGUCCGCGGCGGACGGGUGAGUAACGCGUGGGAACGUGCCCUCUGGUUCGGAAUAACUCAGGGAAACUUGAGCUAAUACCGGAUACGCCCUUUUGGGGAAAGGCUUGCUGCCGGAGGAUCGGCCCGCGUCUGAUUAGCUAGUUGGUGAGGUAACGGCUCACCAAGGCGGCGAUCAGUAGCUGGUCUGAGAGGAUGAUCAGCCACACUGGGACUGAGACACGGCCCAGACUCCUACGGGAGGCAGCAGUGGGGAAUAUUGGACAAUGGGCGCAAGCCUGAUCCAGCCAUGCCGCGUGAGUGAUGAAGGCCUUAGGGUUGUAAAGCUCUUUUAUCCGGGACGAUAAUGACGGUACCGGAGGAAUAAGCCCCGGCUAACUUCGUG